rnacentral:rRNA from 1 species
AACGAACGCUGGCGGCAUGCCUAACACAUGCAAGUCGAACGAAGCCUUCGGGCUUAGUGGCGCACGGGUGCGUAACGCGUGGGAAUCUGCCCUUGGGUUCGGAAUAACAGUUAGAAAUGACUGCUAAUACCGGAUGAUGUCUUCGGACCAAAGAUUUAUCGCCCAAGGAUGAGCCCGCGUAGGAUUAGGUAGUUGGUGGGGUAAUGGCCCACCAAGCCGACGAUCCUUAGCUGGUCUGAGAGGAUGAUCAGCCACACUGGGACUGAGACACGGCCCAGACUCCUACGGGAGGCAGCAGUGGGGAAUAUUGGACAAUGGGGGCAACCCUGAUCCAGCCAUGCCGCGUGAGUGAUGAAGGCCUUCGGGUUGUAAAGCUCUUUUGGCGGGGACGAUGAUGACGGUACCCGCAGAAUAAGCCCCGGCUAACUUCGUGCCAGCCGCCGCGGUAA